GGGGAAUAUUGCACAAUGGAGGAAACUCUGAUGCAGCAACGCCGCGUGAGUGAUGAAGGUCUUCGGAUUGUAAAGCUCUGUCUUCUGGGACGAUAAUGACGGUACCAGAGGAGGAAGCCACGGCUAACUACGUGCCAGCAGCCGCGGUAAUACGUAGGUAGCAAGCGUUGUCCGGAUUUACUGGGCGUAAAGGAUGUGUAGGCGGAUAUUUAAGUGAGAUGUGAAAUCCCCGGGCUUAACAUGGGGGCUGCAUUUCAAACUGAAUGUCUAGAGUGCAGGAGAGGAAAGCAGAAUUCCUAGUGUAGCGGUGAAAUGCGUAGAGAUUAGGAAGAAUACCAGUGGCGAAGGCGGCUUUCUGGACUGUAACUGACGCUGAGGCGCGAAAGCGUGGGGAGCAAAC
rnacentral:rRNA from 1 species